UUAAGCGACUAAGCGUACACGGUGGAUGCCCUGGCAGUCAGAGGCGAUGAAGGGCGUGCUAAUCUGCGAUAAGCGCCGGUAAGGUGAUAUGAACCGUUAUAACCGGCGAUACCCGAAUGGGGAAACCCAGUGUGAUUCGUCACACUAUCAUUAACUGAAUCCAUAGGUUAAUGAGGCGAACCGGGGGAACUGAAACAUCUAAGUACCCCGAGGAAAAGAAAUCAACCGAGAUUCCCCCAGUAGCGGCGAGCGAACGGGGAGGAGCCCAGAGCCUGAAUCAGCAUGUGUGUUAGUGGAAGCGUCUGGAAAGGCGCGCGAUACAGGGUGACAGCCCCGUACACAAAAGCGCAUGUGCUGUGAGCUCGAUGAGUAGGGCGGGACACGUGGUAUCCUGUCUGAAUAUGGGGGGACCAUCCUCCAAGGCUAAAUACUCCUGACUGACCGAUAGUGAACCAGUACCGUGAGGGAAAGGCGAAAAGAACCCCGGCGAGGGGAGUGAAAAAGAACCUGAAACCGUGU
rnacentral:rRNA from 1 species